rfam:Treponema lecithinolyticum ATCC 700332 genomic scaffold Scaffold106, whole genome shotgun sequence.
GCCAACUUAGCUCACUUGGCAGAGCAGCUCAUUCGUAAUGAGCAGGUACAGGGUUCGAUUCCCUGAGUUGGCU